rnacentral:rRNA from 1 species
AACGAACGCUGGCGGCAUGCCUAACACAUGCAAGUCGAACGAGACAUUCGGGGCUAGUGGCGCACGGGUGCGUAACGCGUUGGAACCUGCCCUUAGGUUCGGAAUAACUCCCCGAAAGGGGUGCUAAUACCGGAUAAUGUCUUCGGACCAAAGAUUUAUCGCCUUUGGGUGGGCCCGCGUCGGCUUAGCUAGUUGGUAGGGUAAAAGCCUACCAAGGCGACGAUCCAUAGCUGGUUUGAGAGGAUGAUCAGCCACACUGGGACUGAGACACGGCCCAGACUCCGACGGAAGGCAGCAGUGGGGAAUAUUGGACAUUGGGCGAAAGCCUGAGCCAUCAAUGCCGCAAGAGUGAUGAAGUCCGUAGGGUUGUAACGCUCUUUACCCGGGAUGAUAAUGACAUUACCAGGAGAAUAAGCUCCGGCUAACUCCGUG